CCUACGGGGAGGCAGCAGUGGGGAAUAUUGGACAAUGGGCGAAAGCCUGAUCCAGCCAUGCCGCGUGUGUGAAGAAGGCCUUCGGGUUGUAAAGCACUUUCAGUGGGGAAGAAAGCCUUGGGGCUAAUACCCUCGAGGAAGGACAUCACCCACAGAAGAAGCACCGGCUAACUCCGUGCCAGCAGCCGCGGUAAUACGGAGGGUGCGAGCGUUAAUCGGAAUUACUGGGCGUAAAGCGCGCGUAGGCGGUCUGAUAAGCCGGUUGUGAAAGCCCCGGGCUCAACCUGGGAACGGCAUCCGGAACUGUCAGGCUAGAGUGCAGGAGAGGAAGGUAGAAUUCCCGGUGUAGCGGUGAAAUGCGUAGAGAUCGGGAGGAAUACCAGUGGCGAAGGCGGUCUUCUGGACUGACACUGACGCUGAGGUGCGAAAGCGUGGGUAGCAAACAGGAUUAGAUACCCGAGUAGUC
rnacentral:rRNA from 1 species